UACGUAGGGUGCGAGCGUUAAUCGGAAUUACUGGGCGUAAAGCGUGCGCAGGCGGCUUCGCAAGUCAGACGUGAAAUCCCCGGGCUUAACCUGGGAAUGGCGUUUGAAACUACGGAGCUGGAGUAUGGCAGAGGGGGAUGGAAUUCCACGUGUAGCGGUGAAAUGCGUAGAUAUGUGGAGGAACACCGAUGGCGAAGGCAGCCCCCUGGGCCAAUACUGACGCUCAUGCACGAAAGCGUGGGGAGCAAACAGG
rnacentral:rRNA from 1 species